rnacentral:rRNA from 1 species
ACGUAUGGGGCAAGCGUUAUCCGGAUUUAUUGGGUUUAAAGGGUGCGUAGGUGGGUUAUUAAGUCCGUGGUGAAAGUUUGUCGCUUAACGAUAAAAUUGCCAUUGAAACUGGAUUUCUUGAGUAUGUUUGAGGUAGGCGGAAUGCGUGGUGUAGCGGUGAAAUGCAUAGAUAUCACGCAGAACUCCGAUUGCGAAGGCAGCUUACUAAACCAUAACUGACACUGAAGCACGAAAGCGUGGGGAUCAAACAG